UGUGUCUAUCUAUCGCUCUCCCUUACUGGGAUCACACUGUGCUUCACACUCACGGCCUCGGGGAGGCGAAACUCAGGGCUCCAUGAGGCACACAGCAAGGGCAGUGGAGAGCACGAACGCAGUCCCCCACUACCAUAAAUUAUGUGGCCCGGUUUCCCACGUUUGGGGAAAUCACAGGGGUCAUCACAUCCGGCAUACAACAGAUAAACCUCACCCUGGGAAAACGGUCUUCGUGAUCAUGGUAUCCCCCCUACCCGCACUGCUCCAUUCUCUGGAAUCUAUCCCACAACCCCUGAGGACAGAGACUGCAACACUCAGAUCUUGAAGAUGCCAAAAUGUCAAGCAGGGAUUACAUCCGCCCCA